AGGAAUGUAGCUCAGUGGUAGAGUGCAUACUUCACAUGUAUGAGGCCCUGGGUUCAAUCCCCAGCAUUUUCA